rnacentral:rRNA from 1 species
UACGUAGGGGCCUAGCGUUGUCCGGAUUUAUUGGGCGUAAAGAGCUCGUAGGCGGCUUGGUAAGUCAGGUGUGAAAUCUCCACGCUCAACGUGGAGGGGCCACCCGAAACUGCCCAUGGCUUGAGUCCGGUAGGGGAGUGUGGGAAUUCCCGGUGUAGCGGUGAAAUGCGCAGAUAUCGGGAGGAACACCCGUAGCGAAGGCGGCACUCUGGGCCGGUACUGACGCUGAGGAGCGAAAGCGUGGGGAGCAAAACAGG